AUGGUGAAACCGCGAAUGGCUCAUUAAAUCAGUUAUCGUUCCUUAGAUCGUGUCCUACUUGGAUAACUGCUGACAAUUCCAGAGCUAAUACAUGCAUCAAGGCUCAGACCCUCUGGAAUGAGCGCACUUAUUAGACUAAGACCAACCAAGCCUUGGCUUGAAUGUCUGUGGAAUCUGGAUAAUUUUGCUGAUCGCACGGCCUUGAGCCGGCGACAUGUCUUUCAAGUGUCUGCCCUAUCAACUGUCGAUGGUAGGUGAUAUGCCUACCAUGGUUGUAACGGGUAACGGGGAAUCAGGGUUUGAUUCCGGAGAGGGAGCAUGAGAAACGGCUACCACAUCCAAGGAAGGCAGCAGGCGCGCAAAUUACCCACUCCCGGCACGGGGAGGUAGUGACGAAAAAUAACGAUACGGGACUCGUUCGAGGCCCCGUAAUUGGAAUGAGUACACUUUAAAUCCUUUAACGAGGAUCAAUUGGAGGGCAAGUCUGGUGCCAGCAGCCGGGGUAAUUCCGGCUCCAAUAGCGUAUACUAAAGUUGUUGC
rnacentral:rRNA from 1 species